UCCUACGGGAGGCAGCAGUAGGGAAUCUUCCGCAAUGGACGAAAGUCUGACGGAGCAACGCCGCGUGAGUGAUGAAGGCUUUCGGGUCGUAAAACUCUGUUGUUAGGGAAGAACAAGUGCUAGUUGAAUAAGCUGGCACCUUGACGGUACCUAACCAGAAAGCCACGGCUAACUACGUGCCAGCAGCCGCGGUAAUACGUAGGUGGCAAGCGUUAUCCGGAAUUAUUGGGCGUAAAGCGCGCGCAGGUGGUUUCUUAAGUCUGAUGUGAAAGCCCACGGCUCAACCGUGGAGGGUCAUUGGAAACUGGGAGACUUGAGUGCAGAAGAGGAAAGUGGAAUUCCAUGUGUAGCGGUGAAAUGCGUAGAGAUAUGGAGGAACACCAGUGGCGAAGGCGACUUUCUGAUCUGUAACUGACACUGAGGCGCGAAAGCGUGGGGAGCAAACAGGAUUAGAUACCCUGGUAGUCCACGCCGUAAACGAUGAGUGCUAAGUGUUAGAGGGUUUCCGCCCUUUAGUGCUGAAGUUAACGCAUUAAGCACUCCGCCUGGGGAGUACGGCCGCAAGGCUGAAACUCAAAGGAA
rnacentral:rRNA from 1 species